UGUGCGAAGAAUAUGACGGUAACACAUGAAUAAGGAUCGGCUAACUCCGUGCCAGCAGCCGCGGUCAUACGGAGGAUCCAAGCGUUAUCCGGAAUUACUGGGCGUAAAGAGUUGCGUAGGUGGCAAAGUAAGUCGGUAGUGAAAGCGUGGGGCUCAACCCUAUACACAUUAUCGAAACUGCUUAGCUAGAGGACGAGAGAGGUUAUUGGAAUUCCCAGUGUAGGAGUGAAAUCCGUAGAUAUUGG
rnacentral:rRNA from 1 species